AGAUGUUCCCAGGACGCGAGCUAAGUCUGCCCGGCCGGCGCGCGCCGCUUCCGCUUUGGUGGGAAGGACCUCCCUUCCCCCUUAUAGAAACACUUUCUCCAGGCCGGGCCGGGCUUGGUAAACCUCAGCCGUGCCUGGGUAGAGGACGCCGGGCUGGGCCGAGCGGGGGUGGAAUGAGGGCGUCUAGAACAGAGAAAACUAAGAUGGGGUCGUCCCCCCAGUAAUCUGGAAAACAGUUACAGCAACAGGCUCCUCUCAUCAGACGGCAGUGCUGGUCGUUUCCUCACUGGUUUGCGGGGAAGGCUGGGCAGAAAAAGGAUGCAACCUUGUUCUCAACCACUUGCUAUCUCGUGAUUCAGGGAUUGGAUGAGUCUCUAUGGUUUGUUUUGCCCUGAAGAGCAGAAGGCUUCUGUCCCAACUGGUGUUGCCAAAGCAACAUAUUAAUUCCAUGCCAUGAUCCUGGGUCAAGAUCUGCACAAUCUGAUUGGGCAUGUCACCUCGGAUGGCAAGGGAGUGGAAGUGGUCAAAAUCAUGGAGUCCCAGCUUUCGGAGACGCCUUGCAGCUGCCCGGUGAAGAAAAUGCACAAUGGAAACCACCCAGAUGUCCAGUGAUAGUGGCAUGGACAAAUAAAUGUGGUAUAAUCAUGAAGAUAGAAUACUAAAUAGCAGUUAAAAAAUGAAGGCACCCAGCUUGGUGCACAACAUGGAUGAUUCUCACAAAUACAUAAUGUUGAGAAAAAAAGCAAGCCAUAACAGAAAAUAUAUGAAAAGCAUCCAUUUACAUGAAGCUCAAAAAUGGGUGAAAUUAAAGUACAUCAUUCAGGGAAGAAAAACAGUACACUAUAAAGAAAAGCAAGGAAACAACAGAAGGCUAGUUGUUACCUCUGGGUAGAGAUAGAGGUUUAUGAACAGGAAAAGGCAUAUAGGGGAAGUUGUGGGGUGCUGAAAAUGUUUAUUAUUUAUUUAUUUAUUUAUUUUUGAGACAGGAUCUUACUCUGUUUCCCAGGCUGGAGUACAGUGGUGUGAUCACUGCAACCUUGACUUCCCAGGCUCCAGAGAUCCUCCUACUUCAGCCUUAUGAGUAGCUGGAACCACAGGUGCACACCACCAUGCCCAGCUAAUUUUUGUAUUUUUGGUAGGGAUGAGAUUUUGCCAUGUUGCCCAGGCUGAUCUCAAACUCCCGAGCUCAAGCAAUCCACCAGCGUCAGUCUCUGAAAAUGCUGGGAUUACAGCGUCAGCCACUGCACCCAGCAGUUUUUUGGGUUUUUUGUUGUUGUUUUAUUUGAGACAGGGUCUCACUUCGUCACCCAGGCUGGGGUAUGUGGCACAAUCAAGGCUCACUGCAGCCUCGACCUCCUGGGUUCAAGCGAUCCUCCUCCCUCAGCUCUCUAAGUAGCUGGGACUACAGAUGCCCACCACCACACCUGGCUAAUUUUUUUUAGAGAUGGGGUUUUGCCAUGUUGCCCAGGCUGGGAAAGGAGUUUUUAAAAUUGAAAAAAAAAAGCACCCAUAAAUUAUGGUACAUCUAUCCAAUGAAACAUUAGGAAGCUGCUAAAAAAAGAAUGUGGUGAUAUAAAUAAUCUCAGAAUUAAAAGCUAAAAAAAAAAAAAAAAAAAAAA
rnacentral:lncRNA from 1 species